rnacentral:snRNA from 1 species
AUGCUUUCUCAGCAGAGAGGAUGCCAUGACCGAGAAGGUGGCUGUCCCGGGACAAGGCUCCUCCGUUGCACUCUGGACCAUUUCCCGAGUGCAAAGCCUUCCUGCAGAAUCGGUAUCAGUGGGGGACCGUGUGGUGCCUCCCU